GAUGUCGACUUGGAGGUUGUGCCCUUGAGGCGUGGCUUCCGGAGCUAACGCGUUAAGUCGACGCCUGGGGAGUACGGCCGCAAGGUUAAAACUCAAAUGAAUUGACGGGGGCCCGCACAAGCGGUGGAGCAUGUGGUUUAAUUCGAUGCAACGCGAAGAACCUUACCUACUCUUGACAUCCAGAGAAUUCGCUAGAGAUAGCUUAGUGCCUUCGGGAACUCUGAGACAGGUGCUGCAUGGCUGUCGUCAG
rnacentral:rRNA from 1 species